rnacentral:rRNA from 1 species
GACGAACGCUGGCGGCGCGCCUAACACAUGCAAGUCGAACGAGCGAGAGAGAGCUUGCUUUCUUGAGCGAGUGGCGAACGGGUGAGUAACGCGUGAGGAACCUGCCUCAAAGAGGGGGACAACAGUUGGAAACGACUGCUAAUACCGCAUAAGCCCACGACCCGGCAUCGGGUUGAGGGAAAAGGAGCAAUCCGCUUUGAGAUGGCCUCGCGUCCGAUUAGCUAGUUGGUGAGGUAACGGCCCACCAAGGCGACGAUCGGUAGCCGGACUGAGAGGGUGAACGGCCACAUUGGGACUGAGACACGGCCCAGACUCCUACGGGAGGCAGCAGUGGGGAAUAUUGCACAAUGGGGGAAACCCUGAUGCAGCGACGCCGCGUGGAGGAAGAAGGUCUUCGGAUUGUAAACUCCUGUUGUUGAGGAAGAUAAUGACGGUACUCAACAAGGAAGUGACGGCUAACUACGUG